AGAGUUUGAUCCUGGCUCAGAACGAACGCUGGCGGCAGGCCUAACACAUGCAAGUCGAGCGCCCCGCAAGGGGAGCGGCGGACGGGUGAGUAACGCGUGGGAACGUACCCUUUGCUACGGAAUAGCCUCGGGAAACUGGGAGUAAUACCGUAUGUGCCCUUCGGGGGAAAGAUUUAUCGGCAAAGGAUCGGCCCGCGUUGGAUUAGGUAGUUGGUGGGGUAAUGGCCUACCAAGCCGACGAUCCAUAGCUGGUUUGAGAGGAUGAUCAGCCACACUGGGACUGAGACACGGCCCAGACUCCUACGGGAGGCAGCAGUGGGGAAUCUUAGACAAUGGGCGCAAGCCUGAUCUAGCCAUGCCGCGUGAGCGAUGAAGGCCUUAGGGUUGUAAAGCUCUUUCGUGGGGGAAGAUAAUGACUGUACCC
rnacentral:rRNA from 1 species